CCUACGGGUGGCAGCAGUGAGGAAUAUUGGUCAAUGGGCGCGAGCCUGAACCAGCCAAGUCGCGUGAAGGAUGACUGCUCUACGGGUUGUAAACUUUUUUUAUAAAGGAAUAAAGUGAGGCAUGUGUGCCUUUUUGUCUGUACUUUAUGAAUAAGGAUCGGCCAACUCCGUGCCAGCAUCCGCGGUAAUACGGAGGAUCCGAGCGUUAUCCGGACUUAUUGGGUUUAUAGGGAGCGUAGGUGGAUUGUUAAGUCAGUUGUGAAAGUUUGCGGCUCAACCGUAAAAUUGCAGUUGAAACUGGCAGUCUUGAGUACAGUAGAGGUAGGCGGAAUUCGUGGUGUAGCGGUGAAAUGCUUAGAUAUCACGAAGAACUCCGAUUGCGAAGGCAGCUCACUGGACUGCAACUGACACUGAUGCGCGAAAGUGUGGGUAUCAAACAGGAUUAGAUACCCUUGUAGUC
rnacentral:rRNA from 1 species